GUAAAAUCUUUUUCAAGGUUGAGGAUAAGAUCUAGGUACUGGAUACACUAAAGAGUCGAAAGCAUACCUUUUUUAUCUUUCUUAAAAAGCUUCUGCGAUUGUCUAUUGGCUGUCAGCAGUCCAAGUAACAUCAAGAAGAUGUUAGAUGACAACAGUAAAUUGCAUGAAAGUUUCAUCGUGUGUUUUCGAAUAUGGGCAAUCUAUAUGGAUGAUAUAAAACAUACCUUUUGAGCUGAAGGUUUUCUGGUUUUGUUGUCAUGAUUCGGUGGACUUGUCACAUUACAUUACAUUAUUAUUCAGGGGCUGUUCCGUGAUCGAUCACAUCAAGUAUUUUACGCUUAUUUUAGGCUGUAUUGAGCUGAACGUGUUUACCCAUACAUGGUGUAUAAAAAAACUGAACAGUUUUGAAUCUCCUCUCAUUUUCGCAAAACAGCUAUUAGUAUCCAGUUUUUGAUGUAUAUAGCUUCUUUGGGUACUUAUAAUGUAGAAUAAUGGGGAAAAAUAUUGUGAACCAGGGGGGGGGGGGGGUGUCUUUCCAACAAACUAAAAUUGGGUUGUGCACGAAAUUUAAAAGCUUUAAUCAUAUUUUGAGUUAAUAGAUGGAAACUUUGUUUGGUUUUUAAUUACUGUACAAAAUUUCAGACAAUUUGCUUUAGUUUAAGCCCUUUAACUAUUCACGCAAACUUACAUUUUUUCCUAAAAAUCAGCUAUUUUCAUGUUUAAUUUAUGCCUUUGGCUAAUUGCAUAUGUCAGCAAUAUGCCAAUUAGGUAAAGGCAUUAAUUAAGCAUGCGAAAGGCUGAUUUUUUAGGAAAAAAUGAAUAGCCGCCAAAAAGCCUAAACUAAAGCAAAUUGUCUGAAAUUUUGUACAGUAAUUAAAAACCCGACAAAUUUUCCAUCUAUUAGCUCAAAAUAUGAUUAAAGCUUUUAAAUUUCGCGCGCAAGCCAUUUUUAGUUUGUUGGAAAAGAAACACACCCCUGGUUCACAAAAUUUGAGUUCGAGAAUUUUUUUCAUUAUUCCACAUUAUAAGUACCCAAAUAAGCUAUAUACAUCAAAAACUAGAUACUAAUGGCUGUUUUGCAAAAAUAAAGAGCAAUUUCAAUCUAUAGACUGAUAGCCGAAAGCUCGUAGAAAUAAAUAUUAAGUCAGAGAACGUUCAAUAAAUAAUGUUUCAACAUGGCUACGCAUCCUCUAUUGUUUCAAUUUCAAAUCUGUUCAGUUUUUUCUUAUACACCCUGUAUAGGUGUUUGCCGAUAUUUAAAUACAACUAUAUUGAACGUGGAUGUUUCUUCGAAGUCAAAGUAAUGUAUUUUUAUGAUGGUAUAAUAUUCUAGCAGUAUUAAUGUACUCAAUGAUCGCUAAAUUCAUUAUUUUUUUAAGAGAAUAGUCGAUGAGUUGACGUAAGGUAGAAGAGCGCUCAGUACCAUAAUAAGUAGAGCAUAAUUCAUUCAGACUAGGUUUGAAUGUUUGCGUCGUUACUCUGGGUUUCACGCUUUACGCGAUCAUCAGGCAACUGACAGAUAUAAUUCAAUAUUCAUAAUAAAUACAGGUUAUCAUUUUACAACUUGAUUAAAGCAGGUAUCUGGUUACAUGUCUACAUUUGGAAAACAAGUCUGAGCGUUUGUUCAGGUAUAUAUAUAUAUAUAUAUUUAUAAUAUAGUCAUCCACCGUAUAUGAGCUGUUCUGCAAUCUGAUUGGUUGAAUUACUCGCCGUAUAUCAGCUCAUAUACGUCGAGUAGCGAAAAACAAGAUGGCGGUCCAAAAACUACAUGAGCUUUGCGAAGCAGAAAAAGGAAAAUAUUCGCUUUGAGAAACAUAAUAUUACAAGGAAAAACUUUCAAAAAAAAUUUGACAGGUUAGCAAAAUACAUUUAUUACGUAGAAAUUAGUUUAAAUACAAGUUUUUCAAAGAAUUAAUACCGAAACAACAGCGAAAAAAACAUGUUCAUUGAGAAUAUAAAUUGUUCAGAAAAGUUUGCAAUGAACGACAAAUGAAUUUACAGUCAACAAGCACUUACUAUAGUACCAAACAUCUGUAUAAUAUAUCUGAGCUUUCCUGUGAGAUAUAGAGGUUCUAAAACCAUUUCUUUCACUUCGUCUUCGAGUUGUAAAACAAAAGUAUUUCAAAU